AUGACUAAAUAAAUAAAAUCUUAAAAAAUAAUAAAAAAAAAAAAUUCUGUGAGGCUUCUACAGCUAAAGAGCUUUGAAACCCACUACGGAUUCUAAAGGUCAUUCUGUUAAUAUCCGGGUAAUGACUCUGUGUCCGGAAGCCACCCCGAAGCCACACCGGAAGUCGUUGUGGGCCGCGCCAUUCCCAGCAGCCCCUCCGAGGGCCCGAGUGUCCGGUGCAGACUGUGCGUGACCCUCAGCGGCCUGGACUGCCUCAGGGAUGCGUGAGCUGAUUGUACCCGGAAGUAAGAAAGAAGUCACGUUGCCCAGAGAGACAUUCCAGUGGAUUUGGAAGCAAACAACAAAAACAACAAAACUAAUGGAAAUACAACAAAACAAACUAAGGAGUGAGGAGCACACACAGAUUCUUUCACAAAAUACUUUAUCACCCACAUACUUCAAGGCACAGAGAACAAUACUAUGGAAAAACACAGACAAAAAAGACUCUGGAUCAAAAAGUAAUUCUAACGAGUCAAACUCUGAAUGAGAAGUUCAAAGAAAACCUUAACUAUUUUAUUUCACUUUUCUUUCAUAUAUACACAAGAUUGAUGUACGAUUUUUAAAAAUCUAUGUCUAAUUAUAAGCGCAUUCUUUCAAUAAGUGUAAAAUAGAAACACUAUAAGAUUUUUUUUAGGCAUAAAGUCCUAGUUUAAUUGACAGUGUUUUUUUUCUUUCCUAGCAGUUAAUGAUAUUAUGAUUUAUAAUAACAAAUAUAUAUUUGGUCUUUGUCCACUGUUCCUUCCACAGACCUCUGAAAACUCUUGGAAUUUCCUAAGUGAUGAGAGUAAUAGAGAAGCCUUGUAUUAUGUUAAUGAGGUAGCUUUUGGACCCCUCCUAAGGAUAGGGGCUGGUUGCUAGGAGAAGCAACCAUGUGAUUGAAAGGCUGAAACUUUCGGUCCCACCCCACUCCUACUCCCAUCACUGGGGGGGGAAAGAGAGGCUGGAGGCUGAAUCAAUCACUAAAAGCCAAUAGCUUGAUAAUCAUGUCUAGGUAAUGAAGUCUCUGUAAAAACCCAAAAGGAUGGGGCUUAGAGAGCUACCAGACUGGUGAACACAUGGAGAUUUGGAAAGAGAGCAUGCUCUAAGAGGGCAUGGAAGCUCCACACCCUUUCCCCAUGCCUUGCCCUAUGCAUGUUUUUCAAAUGGUGGUUUCUGACUUAAACCUUUAAUAAUAAACCACUGAUCUAGUAAGCAAAAUGUUUCCCUGAGUUCUGUGAGUAGUCAUUCUAGCAAAUCAAUCAAAUCCAAGGAGGGGGUCAUUAGAACCUUCAGUCUAUAGCCUGUGAAUCAGAAGCAUAGGUGACAACCUGGAGUUGGAACUGGUGUCUGGAUUGGGGUGGGAGGAGGAAGUCUUAUGGAACUGAGCCAUUAACCUGUGAGAUCAGACCUUAUAUCUAGGUAGAUAAUGUCAAACUGAGAUGAAUUGUAGGACCCCAGCUGUUGUCAGAAAAUUGCUUGAUGGUGUGAAGGAACACACACACACAUAGAACACACACAUUGUAAUUGGUAUCAGAACCUAUUUAGUAGUACAUAAAAUAAUGGCAUAUCUUACAAUGGAUGGUUUCUUAGAUUUGAUGAAAUGUGAUGUUUCUCAUUUCAAAGUACUGUAGUGAUUUUCCGGGUUAACCCAUUUUACUGAGAUGAUUGAUUAGCAUGUAGGGGUCCCCUGAGCCAUCCCAAGUAUGAAAAGAAAACAGAUAGUAUAGAUUUUCAAGAAGUGCAAAUCUGAGCACUGAACCCUAGGACGUGAUAAAUCCACUGAAGUCCUUUCACCCUGUGAGAACUAAAUAAGACUUCCCCCUAGCACUCAUCAAAAGCCAUGCCUUUGGACUCCUAGAAAUUGAACACUGUUUUUUAUUUUUUUUUAUUUUUUUUUGAACACUGUUUUAUAUUCAUUUCUGUGUCCCUCAGAAUGCCUAGCACAAAGUUUCACACAUGUUCAACCCUCAAUGAAUGUGUAUUGAGAUAAUGACUUCCACUGAAACUUCCUUUCCUCUUUGAGUCCAUUCAUCCAAUACCUCUCUGCUCCAAAGCAUACAUCAAGUCACUGAGAUCUUGAUACUUAAUGUUGCUCCUAACAAAGCAUGCCAUCAAAUAAAUAUUUGCUCUGUUUUCCUAUUAACACUGCGUGUCUGCUGUUGCUGAUCUUUUUCAUCUCAACCCUGAGAAAACCUAUAGUGUUUCCACCAAUGGGAUAGAACU